rnacentral:rRNA from 1 species
UACGUAGGGUGCGAGCGUUAAUCGGAAUUACUGGGCGUAAAGCGUGCGCAGGCGGUUUUGUAAGCCAGAUGUGAAAGCCCCGGGCUUAACCUGGGAAUGGCAUUUGGGACUGCAAGGCUUGAGUGCGGCAGAGGGAGACUGGAAUUCCUGGUGUAGCAGUGAAAUGCGUAGAUAUCAGGAGGAAUACCGAUGGCGAAGGCAGGUCUCUGGGCUGACACUGACGCUCGA